rnacentral:rRNA from 1 species
UACGGGGGGGGCAAGCGUUGUUCGGAAUUACUGGGCGUAAAGGGCUCGUAGGCGGCCAACUAAGUCAGACGUGAAAUCCCUCGGCUUAACCGGGGAACUGCGUCUGAUACUGGAUGGCUUGAGGUUGGGAGAGGGAUGCGGAAUUCCAGGUGUAGCGGUGAAAUGCGUAGAUAUCUGGAGGAACACCGGUGGCGAAGGCGGCAUCCCGGACCAAUUCUGACGCUGAGGAGCGAAAGCCAGGGGAGCAAACGGG